AACGAACGCUGGCGGCAGGCCUAACACAUGCAAGUCGAACGCCCCGCAAGGGGAGUGGCAGACGGGUGAGUAACACGUGGGAACCUUCCCAACAGUACGGAAUAGCCCAGGGAAACUUGGAGUAAUACCGUAUAUUCCCGUGAGGGGAAAGAUUUAUCGCUGUUGGAUGGGCCCGCGUCGGAUUAGCUAGUUGGUGGGGUAAUGGCCCACCAAGGCGACGAUCCGUAGCUGGUUUGAGAGAAUGACCAGCCACACUGGGACUGAGACACGGCCCAGACUCCUACGGGAGGCAGCAGUGGGGAAUCUUGGACAAUGGGCGCAAGCCUGAUCCAGCCAUGCCGCGUGAGUGACGAAGGCCUUAGGGUUGUAAAGCUCUUUUGCCGGGGACGAUAAUGACGGUACCCGGAGAAUAAGUCCCGGCUAACUUCGUGCCAGCCGCCGCAUAAGAC
rnacentral:rRNA from 1 species